GCGGCGAGCGAAGCGGGAAGAGCCCAGCGCCGAAUCCCCGGGCCCCACGCGGGCCCGCGGGAACUGUGGCGUAAGGAAGUCCGAGCCUGCGGCCGCGUCGGCGCCGAGGUCCUUCUGAUCGAGGCCCCACACGUCCCAGGGCGGGUGUCAGGCCCCUGCGGGCGCCGGCCGGUCGCGGACCAGGGCUUCCGGGAGUCGGGUUGUUUUGUAGCGCAGCCCAAAGGCGGGUGGUAAACUCCAUCCAAGGCUAAAUACCUGCACGAGACCGAUAGAGC
rnacentral:rRNA from 1 species